rnacentral:rRNA from 1 species
CGGACGGGUGAGUAAUGUCUGGGAAACUGCCUGAUGGAGGGGGAUAACUACUGGAAACGGUAGCUAAUACCGCAUAACGUCGCAAGACCAAAGAGGGGGACCUUAGGGCCUCUUGCCAUCGGAUGUGCCCAGAUGGGAUUAGCUGUUGGUGGGGUAACGGCUCACCAGGCGACGAUCCCUAGCUGGUCUGAGAGGAUGACCAGCCACACUGGAACUGAGACACGGUCCAG